AAUGAACGCUGGCGGCGUGCCUAAUACAUGCAAGUCGAACGGAGUGGCGCACGGGUGAGUAAUGUAUAGAUAAUCUACCCUACACUAGAGGACAACAGUUGGAAACGGCUGAUAAUACUCAUUAGUGUAGGAUGAUGCUAUAUUGUAUCAGCGAGUUGGUGAGGUAAUGGCUCACCAAGUCUAUGCCGCUUAACUGGUCUGAGAGGAUGAUCAGUCACACUGGAACUGAGACACGGUGCAGACUCCUACGGUGGGCAGCAGUAGGGAAUAUUGCUCAAGGGGGGAAACCCUGAAGCAGCAACGCCGCGUGGAGGAUGACACUUUUCGGAGCGUAAACUCCGUUUGUUAGGGAAUCGGUAUCUAACCAGAAAGCCACGGCUAACUACGUGCCAGAGCCGCGGUAAUAC
rnacentral:rRNA from 1 species